AGGCGACAAGACACCAGAUGCCACCUUCUUGGGCCCUUUCUUGGGUGACUCAGCUGGAAGGGGGAUGCCAGAGUCUUCAUAUACCUUGCGCUUCACGGUGGCCUUUAUCUGAGCCCUGAAGAGAAGAGAGAGCAGGGCAGAUGGAGUGUGAAGAGUCCCUGAACUGAGGAGUAGAAAAGGCCCAUCUCCUAAUUCUCUUCUGGGAGAGAUGUAUGGAUGUGCAAUGCUACCAGUCCUGAAGGGGAUGCUAACAAAACUUGCAACAAAGUAGGAAAGAUGUUGAGCUGGGAGUUCUGACGAAGAUGGAACAACGGGUACGCAGGAAGGAAGCUGCCCACCCUCCCUUUCUCUGCCAGCGAACCCUCC